AGGACGAACGCUGGCGGCGUGCUUAACACAUGCAAGUCGAGCGGUAAGGCCUUUCGGGGUACACGAGCGGCGAACGGGUGAGUAACACGUGGGUGAUCUGCCCUGCACUUCGGGAUAAGCCUGGGAAACUGGGUCUAAUACCGGAUAUGACCUGCUCUCGCAUGGGGGUGGGUGGAAAGAUUUAUCGGUGCAGGAUGGGCCCGCGGCCUAUCAGCUUGUUGGUGGGGUAAUGGCCUACCAAGGCGACG
rnacentral:rRNA from 1 species